rnacentral:rRNA from 1 species
ACGGAGGGGGCUAGCGUUGUUCGGAAUUACUGGGCGUAAAGCGCGCGUAGGCGGCUUUGUAAGUUAGAGGUGAAAGCCCGGAGCUCAACUCCGGAACUGCCUUUAAGACUGCAUCGCUAGAAUUGUGGAGAGGUGAGUGGAAUUCCGAGUGUAGAGGUGAAAUGCGUAGAUAUCCGAAAGAACACCGGUGGCGAAGGCGGCCUGCUGGGCAAUUGCUGACACUGAGGCGCGACAGCGUGGGGAGCAAACAGGA